GGGGAGCGCCCCGCAGCGCCGCUCCCGUGCGCUGUGCCCUUCCGGGCCUCGACGCGUCCAUCUCUGCGGCACAAACGGGCGGGGCCGCUGGCCUCGGGGCGACCGUCGGCUGGGUCGGGACCUCACGAUCCUGACCUGAGCCUAAAGCAGAUGCUUAACCGACUGAGCCACCCAGGCGCCGUUGGCGGGUCCUUUUUAAUGAUGCCAAGAGCUCCUCAUACUAUGGAAAAGCAGAGCACAGAUGAUUCAGCAGGUCCAGUAAGUUCCUCUUUGGUCCAGGCAUUAGAACACGACAGAUUUCCUCUGGGCUAGGCUUUCUCGUCUGUUCCAGCAGUGAUCCUCACAACAACCUCAUCACCUACGCUGAACACGGUAGACCUACUAAAGGCCCAGCUCCCUGUAGCCACAACCACUGUGGUCUCCCUGCAUUAGAACUCUAACAUACCAACUUUUUGGAGUCUUUCAACACCAGUUCAGAGGUACUGUUAAUAUGCGGGCCUUCCCACGACUAGAUGGAUCCAUAUUUCUGCUCUUAUGAAGAUCUACAUUCAGCACUUCCCUAGCUAUACCUACCACAGACAAUGUACUCAGCAGCUCCAAACAGGCCACCACGGCCAUUAAGAACAUGACCCAGGCCCCACAAUUAAUGCUGGACAUGGUCAGAGAAGUCACCAAUCCAGUGAUUCUCAAAAUGUGGUCCUUGGACCAGUAGCAUCAGUAUCACCCGGGACCUCGUUAGAAAGGCAAUUUAUUCAACUCUCACCCCAGGCCAUGCCAAAGCUGGGGUUGAGGACAGUGAUUUGCAAUUUAAAAAACCUUCUAGUUGAUUCUGUUGUACACUCAAGUGCAAGAACCACUGAACUAAUACAAACCACCUAUUUUACAGAUAAGAAUGAGACUUAUGAAAAUUAAAGGAGUUAUCCAUGACCUCACUCCUAGUUGGUGCUAGGACCCGCAUCUGGUGUCCAGUCCAGGGCUUUUCAUGUUUCAGAACAGCAUUAUUAUGCAUCAUGCCACUUUGCUGACCCUGUUCUAAACUAAUAAAUCCAAGUUAGUAAACACAAAACUUUUGAAGGUAAAGUAUCAAGAAUUGAAGGCUCUAAAGGCAUGCCAUUGCUUCAUCCCACUAUUUUCACUCCCCUGCAGACAGCUAAAUCUUCUAGGAAACAAUAAAUAUAUCCACUAGGAGAACCAGAUCAAAGCUCUUGACUACAUCUGAGUAACAGUGUUCAGUAAGGCAAGUAAUGAAUUUGUACUAAUUAAAGUUCUGAAAGAGAAAAAGCAAUACACUGUAGAUAUGGGAAUUCGAUUAAUAAAACAAAGGGUCUCCCCUGUCCACAUCUCCUUAUCUGCAGAUUUAAAAAUCACAUAGAAUUUUAACAAUAACGAGGGCUUUUACGCCUUGCUUUAUGUGUGCGUCUUGGACCCAUGUACAGCUUUUGAUAUAUGCUCCUCGGCUAGGAAGAAAGAAAACCAGUCGUGAUCAUCGCUCCGCUAAGUCACAAAUACUGACGUUAAAAAUGUGGAUCAUUUACAGUUGAGGUCAAAUAUAUUCCCCUAGAUCAUCCUUGAGUUUGUUCAGAUAGCUGAUUAUUCACUUGCCAAAAUAAGCUCUCAAAUAAACAAAUGGUCUGCUGAAAGAACAAAGUAGGAGUUAUUCAAGUGCUUAGUGAAUUCAUCAGUCACAAACACUAGAGGGGGAAAAAAGAAAGACUGUGUCCUAGAGAGUGUGUCUAGCCAUGUCCAGCCCAUGCCUGCCCUACACUCUACUGUCUGUGCAAGCAGAACUGCAGCCCUCGGAGUCUGGCUGCUGCUGAACAGUCCAAUUCAAGGACUACUUGAAUUGCAGUGACAGAAAUGUUCAAAGUCUUAUCAUAACAGAAACCACUCUGCCCUAAAGUCAACAUUUUGCUGAAGAAAAAGAUUGAUUGAACCAAGAACAAUUCCCUAGACACAUCACUCUGAAACAAGAAUGAAUGAUGGUAGUGAAAGCAAAGUCAUCCCUGGAGUCGUUUACGGUUCCCUAAGAACCUUCUAGAAGGAUCAUUUAUAGUUGAUGAAUUUAAGACAUAACUGUAAAGGAAAGAUUGGGAGACUGAGGUUGGGGGUGAAUUUAUAUGAAUUUCUAUAAAUAUAUGUACAUUUACUAAAACGAGGCAAUAAAAGUAAACAACGCACUGUGAGUUUUGAUACGUAAUAAGUUGGCAGUCCUAACGUAACCCUGUUGAAUUCCAUUUAUCGUUCCUGGAUGACAUAGUCUUUAGGAUCUUCCCCUGCAGAUUCAAUGAGAUGUUUGCAAAUUCUUUUGUUGCAUAUUGAAAUGCAUAUUUUUCCAGGCAUUUUUCUUUUUUUUAAAUCUAAACUAAUGUUUUUGAAAUUCUAAACUCUCACCUUCUGUUACUUGC